CAAAUUUUGUCAUGGCGCCAUGGAAACGCCCUUUAACAAAAACUCAAGAUCUCCAAAAGUUAACAUUGCACAGGCCUUUAGAUUAGACUGACCACAAAAUAUAUCUUAAUCUAAAAAAAAAUUAUAGGAGUAGUUUGUUGCAGCGUAAAACAUGUCACUUCCUGUUGCCAAUAGGUGGCGCUAUGACUAUAACUGAAUGUGGGCAUGUAGAUCUGUUAAGGGCAGAAGUUUUAUCUAACAUGUGAAGUUUGGGGCAGAUUGGACAUUGUAUGUCUGAGUUACAGCAACUUCCUUUUUCAUGGCGAAACAUCGAAAUUUGUCAGGCCACCAUGGACACGCCCUUUAACGAAAUCUAAAGAUCUUCGCAAUUUAACAUCGCAAAGGGCUUAAGAUUACACUGACCAGGUUUGGUGUUGAUCUGAAUAAAUCUCUAGGAGGAGUUCGUUAAAGUACAACCCCUGAAAAUGGCAAAAACAACGCCAAUAUUGCAGAGAAAAUUCUAAAUAACCGACUUCCUGUUGGGAUUCGGAUUUCGUACCAAGAGACUUUUUUGUAGGUAUUGGUGUGUUACAUGUGUAUACCGAUUUUUGUACAUGUACGUGAAACAUAGCUCGAGGCGCACUCUGUUGAAAGUGUAUAGGUGGCGCUAUCGAGCCAUUUUGCCACACCUGAUGGAAUUUUGGCCUUCAGAUGUGUUCAGGCCAGGACUCUUAUCACACAUGUGCAGUUUGGGGAAGAUCGGACAUUUUAUGCCUGAGUUAUAACAUCUUUUAUUCCCAUGGCGAGACAUCGAACUUUGUGACGGCGCCAUGGACACGCCUUUUAACGAAAACUCAAGAUCUUCACAACUUAACAUCGCACAGGCCUUUAGAUUAGACUGACCACAAAAAAGACAUUGAUGUCAUAAAAUUUCUAGGAGUAGUUCUUCGCACCAUAAAAUAUGACACUUCCUGUUGCCAAUAGGUGGCGCUAUGACUAUAACUGCAUAUGGGCAUGUCAAUCUAUUCUGUUCCAGAGUCUUAUCAACCAUGUGAAGUUUGGGGUAGAUUGGACAUUGUAUGUCUGAGUUAUAGCAACUUCAUUUUUCAUGGCGAGUCAUCGAAAUUCGCCAGGCCGCCACGGACACGCCCUUCAACGAAAACUCAAAAUCUUCGCAAUUUAACAUCGCAAAGGCCUUUAGAUUAGGCAUACCAAAUUUGGUGUUGAUUUGAAGAAAUCUCUAGGAGGAGUUCGUUAAAAUACAACGCAUGGAAAUGGCAAAAAUGACACAAAAUUUGCUCAUAAUAUUAAAAAUAACUGACUUCCGGUUGGGUUUAGAAUUUUGCUCCAAGAGUCUUUUUUGUAGGUAUUGAUGUGUUACAUGUGUGUACCGAUUUUCAUACAUGUACGUGAAAUGUAACUCGAGGCGCACACCGCUGAACGUGCAUAGGUGGCGCUGUCGAGCCAUUUUACCACGCCCACUUCUGAAACCCAUAUCAGACGUAAAUUUUCGCCAGUUCGGAGGCGUGUGCAAAAUUUGGUGACUUUUUGAGCAUGUUUAGGCCCUCAAAAAUGCGAUUCAUUUUGGAGAAGCGGAAUAAUAAUAAUAAUAAACGGAGCAAUUCCAAUAGGGUCCUCACACCAUCGGUGCUCGGGCCCUAAUAAUAAUAAUAAUAAUAAUAAACGGAGC